rnacentral:rRNA from 1 species
UACGUAGGGUGCGAGCGUUGUCCGGAAUUAUUGGGCGUAAAGGGCUCGUAGGCGGUCUGUCGCGUCGGGAGUGAAAACUCAGGGCUUAACCCUGAGCCUGCUUCCGAUACGGGCAGACUAGAGGUAUGCAGGGGAGAACGGAAUUCCUGGUGUAGCGGUGGAAUACGCAGAUAUCAGGAGGAACACCGGUGGCGAAGGCGGUUCUCUGGGCAUUACCUGACGCUGAGGAGCGAAAGUGUGGGGAGCGAACAGG